rnacentral:rRNA from 1 species
UACAGAGGUCCCAAGCGUUGUUCGGAUUCAUUGGGCGUAAAGGGUGUGUAGGUGGCGCCGUAAGUCGGGUGUGAAAUUUCGGAGCUUAACUCCGAAACUGCAUUCGAUACUGCGGUGCUUGAGGACUGGAGAGGAGACUGGAAUUCAUGGUGUAGCAGUGAAAUGCGUAGAGAUCGUAAGGAAGACCAGUGGCGAAGGCGGGUCUCUGGACAGUUCCUGACGCUGAGGCACGAAGGCCAGGGGAGCAAACGGG